UUAAUUGAAACCAAAUAGAGGUAUAUUAUUGUUAAUAAUAAAAUUGAAUUCUAAUUCCAAUUAGA
rnacentral:tRNA from 1 species